GAGACACUAAGGUAAUGAUGACCAAAAAAUUAAGGAUAAAAUGAUUUCCUGGUGGAAGAAGAAAGGAUUGAGGCAAGGACAUAAGGGACCUCACAGAUCAUACUCUUUCAUUUCUUGCACUAGAUCAGAAGCCUUCUGUAAUGAAAAUAUGGAAAGGGCUUCUGGUUUCUUUGAAAAAAAAUCAAUGAAAAUAUCAAGACAAGGCAUAAUGUCAAUUGGAAUUCUUGCAGCUGGCAAGUGUUUCUGUAAACUCUCUGUGGUAAGAACAGCCAACUGCCCUGGAAAUCUCCCUUUCCUAAUGAAAAGUUGUUGGAAGACAUGUCUGUCCUACCAGAGAUUACAUGUUCAUG